GCCUUAACCUGUGUUGCCUUCUAUUUUGAUUUGUAGAAACUACUACUAAAAUACAAGGAGAAAUAUUGUCUUCGUAUAAAAAGUUCAACAGGCAACACAGCCGAUAUUUUCAUCGAUUGUUUCAUGGAAAUUCACUUUCCUAUUGGGCAAAUUCAAGUAAGUAUGGCAAAAAAAUCAAAAAUAAUGGAAAUAUUUUGAAUUACAACAAUCAUUUAAAUAUUUAUUUGCAGGGUAUCGGAGUUAUUCAUAAUUUGUAUUCAAAAAGUAGCGUUUUACAACAAGUGCAGCCGUUGCAAGUCAGGAUCACUUGGGUGUCCGUCCACGUUUGCUGGUGCAUGUAUUUUUACCACUGCAGCGUUUGGGUUGGUCAAGUGCAGCCUUUGCAUAUUUACAA